UCCGGCGGCUAUAGCGAAGGGGAAACACCUGUUCCCAUACCGAACACAGAAGUAAAGUCCUUCAGCGCCGAUGGUACUGCAAGGGCAACCUUGUGGGAGAGUAGGUCGUCGCCGGAU
rnacentral:rRNA from 1 species